ensembl:miRNA mir24a-2 microRNA mir-24a-2
UGCUGGGUCAGUCUCCUGUGCCUGCUGUGCUGAUAAUCAGUGUGUGACGUCGGCUGGCUCAGUUCAGCAGGAACAGGGGACUGUUCUCA